GGUCUCGUAGCUCAGGUGGCUAGAGUGUUGGCUGUCGUGGGUUCGAAUCCCACCGAGAUCG
rnacentral:tRNA from 1 species